rnacentral:rRNA from 1 species
CCUAAACGAUGUCUACUAAUUCUCUGGGUUUAUUUACUUUGGUAACGCAGCUAACGCGUGAAGUACACCGCCGGGGGAGUACGGUCGCAAGAUUAAUACUCAAAGGAAUUGACGGGGACCCGCACAAGCGGUGGAUGAUGUGGAUUAUUUCGAUGCAACGCGAAAAACCUUACCUACCCUUGAUAUGUCAGGAAGUCUGGAGAGAUCUGGAUGUGCCCGAAAGGGAACCUGAACUCAGGUGCUGCAUGGUUGUCGUCAGCUCGUGUCGUGAUAUGUUGGGUUAAUUCCCGCAACGAGCGCAAUCCUUGUCAUUAGUUGCUACGAAAGGGCACUCUUAUGACACUGCCGGUGACUAACCGGAGGAAGGUGGGGAUGACGUCUAGUCCUCAUGGUCCUUAUGGGUAUGGCUUCACACGUCAUACAAUGGUGCAUACGGAGGGCCGCCAACCCGCGAGGGGGAGCUAAUCCCAUAAAG